CCGCGACCGUCGCGAGCGUACGCGCACUUUCAGCUUUUAGUGAGCACCGUGCUUAUUUGGAUUCGACGAAUACGCACACACAUACAGAGAGAGAGAGAGAGAAAGAGAGACUCGAGCGCAUCAGAGACGUACAUGCACAACGGACGGAGAGAGGAAGAGAGAAAGAUUAUGCCAAGAUGAAUCUGUCGAAGAAGGAUCGACUUCGCGAAGAUCGUGAGAAUCGAGACGAGUGACUUCGCCUUCGAAAGUGCUGAUUUGUAAAUUUUUUUCUCAAGUGUGAAACGAAGGGGCGGAACCGGUAGUCGGAGUGCGGGUCCGAGUAAAAACGAAAACGAGAACGAAAGAGAAUCGGGAACAACGGAAACGCGGGGAGCCAGCUUAACGGAAACAAGUGAACGUCGGGUGAUAUGAGUGAACGCAGGAUCCUUCGUGACGUUAAAUGAUCGAGUUACGAGCCCGGUCGGAACGAACACCGUCGAUUAACCGGCACGCGAUACGUCGGAAACGCGAUUACAAACGCAGCGCGUCCUUCUUGUUUCCGCGAAGGAACCGACGGGGCCGCGGAGAGUGAAACGAAGUUGGAUAUAAGGCCGGCGGUAGCGAAGGAAAGUGGUAAAAGUGGGCGGAGGAGGAGGGGGGGAGGGGAAAAAUGUGGUGUCACGUCCUCGCCACCGUCGCCGCUUUCUUCUGUGUCGUCCACGC